UACGUAGGGGGCUAGCGUUGUCCGGAUUUAUUGGGCGUAAAGAGCGUGUAGGCGGCCUGGUAGGUCUGCUGUGAAAACUCGAGGCUUAACCUCGAGAUGUCGGCGGAAACCAUCUGGCUAGAGUCCGGAAGAGGAGAAUGGAAUUCCCGGUGUAGCGGUGAAAUGCGCAGAUAUCAGGAGGAACACCGGUGGCGAAGGCGGGUCUCUGGGCCGAUACUGACGCUGGAGGAGCGAAAGCGUGGGGAGCGAACAGG
rnacentral:rRNA from 1 species